rnacentral:rRNA from 1 species
CUUGGUCAUUUAGAGGAAGUAAAAGUCGUAACAAGGUUUCCGUAGCUCAAGUCUACGAAGAACAGUAAUGUUCCUUCCGCAGAGUACACUUGCAGAAGCCUUAGUGGCCUGAAAGGGUUUCAUCAGCGACUCUAAACAAGUAGGUGGAUUAAACGCUAGUCUCUUUCAAAGAGGCGACACUAUCAAAUUGCGGGAAGAUCCUGUCAGGUCCACAUCACCGCGGCUCACCGAAAGGUGUAGUGCAGCACCAGGCUAACAACCUUGGGUAUGGUAAUAGUAUGUGGAAUAGGGAGAAUCUGCAGCCAAGCCCCUCUCUUGGGGUGCAGUUCACAGGCCAAAUGGUAGUGGGCACUCUGGUGCUUAAGAUAUGGUCGAGUCCCAAUUGAAAAAUUGGGUACAAGUACUCUGAUUGAUUACAUACAGUCUAUGCUCAGUCGAAUACAGCUAGUUGUAAAUGCAAAUGUUCCGUAGGUGAACCUGCGGAAGGAUCAUUAAUGAAUUAAAGUCGAUCUUCUGUGCUGGUGGCAACACAUGUGCACGUUGAUCGCAAAUCCACACACCUGUGCACCUUUGACUUUGGGAUCUGCUUAUCUGACUUGACUUUGUGCCUGUCUGGAUCCCAGAGUAUUUUUACACACUCUGAAUGUAAUGGAAUGUAUCUGUGCAUAAUGUACAAAAAUACAACUUUCAACAACGGAUCUCUUGGCUCUCGCACCGAUGAAGAACGCAGCGAAAUGCGAUAAGUAAUGUGAAUUGCAGAAUUCAGUGAAUCAUCGAAUCUUUGAACGCACCUUGCACCCUUUGGUAUUCCGAAGGGUACACCCGUUUGAGUGUCAUUGUAAUCUCACUCCAUCAGCUAUUUGUUGAUGGAUGUGGACCUGGACCCUGUUGUGUUACUACAACUGGUCUGAAAUGCAUGAGUGCACCCUGCUAUUGCAGCGUUUUCAGUGUGAUAAGCAUCUUCACUGGACCAAGCUCCCUUGGGACACGCAGCAUUGUGGGCUCUGUGCUGGCAAACUGUCUUUGGACAACUUUGACAAUUUGACCUCAGAUCGGGUGGGACUACCCGCUGAACUUAAGCAUAUCAAUAAGCGGAGGAAAAGAAACUAACAAGGAUUCCCCUAGUAACGGCGAGUGAAGAGGGAAAAGCUCAAAUUUUGAAUCUGGUGCCUUUGGCAUCCGAGUUGUAAUCUAGAGAAGUGUUUUUUGCCUUGGACCACACAUAAAUUCCCUGGAAUGGGGUGUCAUAGAGGGUGAGAAUCCCGUUUGUGGUGUGGACUACCUUGGCUAUGUAAUACACUCUCAACGAGUCGAGUUGUUUGGGAAUGCAGCUCAAAAUGGGUGGUAAAUUCCAUCUAAAGCUAAAUACUGGCGAGAGACCGAUAGCGAACAAGUACCGUGAGGGAAAGAUGAAAAGCACUUUGGAAAGAGAGUGAAACAGUACGUGAAAUUGUUGAAAGGGAAGCGUUUGAAGUCAGUCACAUUGGUCAGAAUUCAGCCUGGCUUCUGCCUGGUUCACUUUUUGGCAAAUGGGUCAGCAUCAAUUUUUGAUUGAGGGAGAAAGACUUGAGGAAUGUGGCUGUCUUCGGACAGUGUUAUAGCCUCUUGUUGUAUGUCUCAAUUGGGAUUGAGGAAUGCAGCACGCCUUAUGGCCGGGGUUCGCCCUCGGUACGUGCUUAGGAUGUUGACAUAAUGGCUUUAAGCGACCCGUCUUGAAACACGGACCAAGGAGUCUAACAUGUGCGCGAGUGUUUAGGUGUCAAACCUGGGCGCGUAAUGAAAGUGAAAAGUCGGGAUCAUGUACUUGUGCACCGACACCCGGAGCAGACCUUCUGUGACGCAUCCGCGGUAGAGCGUAUAUGUUGGGACCCGAAAGAUGGUGAACUAUGCCUGAAUAGGGUGAAGCCAGAGGAAACUCUGGUGGAGGCUCGUAGCGAUUCUGACGUGCAAAUCGAUCGUCAAAUUUGGGUAUAGGGGCGAAAGACUAAUCGAACCAUCUAGUAGCUGGUUCCUGCCGAAGUUUCCCUCAGGAUAGCAGAAACUCAUUAUCAGCCUUGUGCGGUAAAGCGAAUGAUUAGAGGCCUUGGGGUUGAAACAACCUUAACCUAUUCUCAAACUCUAAAUGUGCAAGAUAGAGUUGUCACUUGAUUGGACUUCUCUGUGGGUGAGAGUUUCUAGUGGG